rnacentral:rRNA from 1 species
UGAGAGGAUGAUCAGCCACACUGGAACUGAGACACGGUCCAGACUUCUACGGGAGGCAGCAGUGGGGAAUCUUAGACAAUGGGGGAAACCCUGAUCUAGCCAUGCCGCGUGAGUGACGAAGGCCUUAGGGUCGUAAAGCUCUUUCAGCUGUGAAGAUAAUGACGGUAGCAGCAGAAGAAACCCCGGCUAACUCCGUGCCAGCAG